rnacentral:misc_RNA from 1 species
AGAAGUAACCUCGACCAACACCUUGUGUGAAGGUCGGAUGUGGGAGUUCUGCUGUUACUUUGUAGCGGCUCUCCCUAAAUGUCUUAGCUAGUUGGUGAUGGACAACUGUUGGCUUGAUAUAAUGUCUAUGCUACGGUCGCUCAUGUCCCAAAGCUUAUAACUGUCUUCGGACAACUUCUUUCAAU